CUCAAGUGUAGCUGGGAUAUAUAAACUGCAGAGUCAGAGCAUGUAUGUGACCCAAUCAAAUUUGAUUUGACAGACUCAUUCUUCCAAUCAUGAAGUCUGUAGAAAUUGCGCCAGAAAGUGUGCUUGUCGCGCCUCCUCGUCACCGCUGGAUGGACAGUGCGGGGUGGUCAGUAGCUGGAGUCCGUUUUCAACGACAUGAAGUCUGGGUCUGAGCCUCUCAUUCACUCGGACAGGAGAACGACACGCAGAAGCAUGGAAUUGGAUAUUUAUUUCCAGGAAUACACAGACCAUGCAGCACAGACAGAAAACAAUGGGGGAUACAUGUCAACAGAUCCUGUCACGGUGUCUUCACAACGAUUCAACUUGGACAUUAAGCUCCACCCUGAGUCUCCACCCUACCACAACAGACCUCUGGUAACCAGCGCAGGACAGUCACUAAACAGAAGAAAAUAGACCGAAACUCUUGUGUGCAUUAAUGCAUACGACCCUGGAUACUGUUUCAGCAAACUGAAGUCUUAGGCUGUUCAGUGGACACUAGAUGGGGUAGAUCAUUACAUUGAUUGUUUUUAUUAAUGUGUUUCUAUUUUUGUAAGCUGCACUGACAUUCUGUUUUCUGGAUUGUAAACUGCUUUAAGUGCACUGUUGUGGCACAUGUUUUCAUAUGUGUAAAUAAAACCAAUCUAUAUAUUUGCC